UUCAUGGAGAGUUUGAUCCUGGCUCAGGACGAACGCUGGCGGCGUGCCUAAUACAUGCAAGUCGAGCGGACCGACGGGAGCUUGCUCCCUUAGGUCAGCGGCGGACGGGUGAGUAACACGUGGGUAACCUGCCUGUAAGACUGGGAUAACUCCGGGAAACCGGGGCUAAUACCGGAUGCUUGAUUGAACCGCAUGGUUCAAUCAUAAAAGGUGGCUUUUAGCUACCACUUGCAGAUGGACCCGCGGCGCAUUAGCUAGUUGGUGAGGUAACGGCUCACCAAGGCAACGAUGCGUAGCCGACCUGAGAGGGUGAUCGGCCAC
rnacentral:rRNA from 1 species